UUAGCCUGAUGCAAAAUCAUAUAUGCAAGUGAUUUACUUACAUUGUAGGGGUUUGAAAAUGUUAAUAAUAGUAAUGCGGCAACCAAACCAGGCCAGGACAAUCUAUGCUGCACAAUUUAUAUUUGCUACAUUGGUUACAAUUUGAGGGGUUUCUCUGUCCCAGUCUCUGUUCUGGACCCCUCUGGUCCUAUACGGUCCGAGCUCCAAGAAAGAUUUUGUGAAGCUAAUGGGGUCCAAGUCCAGGUCCUCCCUCUCCAUCCAUCCCAGAGGAAGCCUAAUCCCGUUAGCUGUGCUUUCUCAUGGAUAAUCCCUCCACUUCCCACCUGACUGUCCUUCAGCCUCAGCCUCUCUCUGGGAUGAGCGUCUUCUGCUGAACACUGCAGCAUGUUUAGCUGGGUGAUAAAGGUUGUUCUCCUGGGAAGCUGGCAGAGGAGGACCAGACCAAUGCUUCCACUGCAGCGCCUGCGACUGAUGUGACGAAAAAAGAGGAAGUAAAACAAGGUAACAGAUUUGACAGCGGUUUUGAUCAAUGACAAACACUGAAUCACAGAAACAAAUACAGACCUGAGAAUAUUGUUCAUUCAUUUUUCAUGGUGUUAUUUUAUAGAACCUUCCAAGCCAACGGAAGAGGAAAACAGGUGGUGUUAUGUUUGUGUUUGUGUUUGUGUGUGUGGGGGACAUGUGUGUUCAGUGUCUCUAGAUGCAGUAAUCCUGCCAGACCUAAUUAUUGCUCUCUCUCUCUCGCUCUCUCUCUCUCUCUCUCGCUCUCUCUCUCUCUCUCUCUCUCCAGCUCUCAGAGUGGAGUUUUGAGUUGGCUCUCUCAUGGGUUCAGCAGUGCUCUCCCUCAGCCAGUAAACUCCUCUAAACUGGCCAGCAGUGAACAUGAGGGAAAUACAGUGAGCAGCAGGUAUAUUUUCAAUCAUACAGAUUCAAUUUUAUUUUGUAUGUGUAUGCUGUUUGCCGCAUCUUCAUGCAGUUAUGUGAUAAUAUUUGUUAACAUCUGCAUCUGUGUGUAUGCCUGUUAAAUGAAUGUUUUGAUGAGUAUCACACAUUUUCCAUCACUGUAUCAUGGAGGGCAGUAACACAUCGGACCAGUGAGUAGCUUAUAGCAGAUAUUAGGUCAUGCACAAACAUGCAGAGCUUUGCUGCAGACCAGCAUGGAGAGUUUUCACAUGCUACACACGGAAAAGACUUUAUUGCACUGAGCUGUAUUUCCAUAUUAACAGCUCAAGGCAAAAGACCCUCAUGCUGAACAGACAAAAACUAAAGCAUUGUAAUAUGCAG